rnacentral:misc_RNA from 1 species
GCGGGUCGGCUUCAACUCUUCUCUCUAUCUGACCUCCUUUUUCCAACUUUACUCACCGUCUGCUAUCAUCUCAGCUUGCGUAAUGCGUAGUAGUAUUUCCCCUUUUUAACAAAAUUUUCCUGAAUUUCUCCUAGCUUGCUACCCUUUUCUCUCUGGUUUAUACAAUACCCUGCCGGUGAUUCUCUGCAUGGGGUAGAAAUUUUCAUCUUUGGGAGGGCAGCCACGCAUUCAAUUGGGAGAAAUAUGAAAGGAAUCGUUGGGCACGAAUUUGUUGACAUACUGCAAGUAGUGGACUGAAAAAAAGAGCUUUUGGCUGUCAGUCGAAAGUGUUGGUGAGAAGCUCUCUCCAAUCCUAGGACCAUUUCCCCUAUUCUCUGAUUGGCUUUAGUGGUGCUUUGGUGGUUUUCACAGCUAGAUAAGUAGCUCAGCUUGCCCAUUUUUUGGUCCUAAUUUGUUGAGUAUAGAAUGGGUAGCAGAGCUGAGGAAGCAAGCGUAGCUAGAUCCAAGGUAUCUGGAUCGGAAGGUUUAUAUUCUAGCCCAACCCACCACCGUUCUUCUAAUGUGUGCCUGGAUGUCUUAAUCUUGUGCGGAAAUUGAAAAUUUUAAUUUUAAUUCUGCGUGUAUCCAUUCUCCUUUGACCAUCGCUAAAUUUAAGAUGAGGACCCUCUCCCUUCAGAUUCUUCCUCCUCCUCUAAAUUCAUUGUAACAUAGAAUUUCAAUUUUUGGGAAAGUGGUAAAAUCUCAUGGCAUAUUUUCUUUGAGUUUGUGAAAGAAAGGAAGUAAAUAUGGUCAAGAAAACAAUCCAAGAAAUGCUGGAUUCUAAAAAUGCUUUCUUUUUUGGAUAAGAAUAUGUGAAUUCGUUGGUUUGAUAUUUUGUCUUUUCCCAUUUUUUUUCUAAAAUAUUUCUGUUUAAUGUUUUGGUUAGUAUUUUUGUGUAAAGCAGGACUUGCUGGUACUGUGUUGAUUGUGCUUUUGUUGUCAUUCCUUGCUAAGUUACCCUGGCUUGGUGGUUAAUAAUUCAAUGUGGUAGCUUACCAUGUUCCGAGGUGAUGGUUAGAC